rnacentral:rRNA from 1 species
UUGGAGGGCAAGUCUGGUGCCAGCAGCCGCGGUAAUUCCAGCUCCAAUAGCGUAUAUUAAAGUUGUUGCAGUUAAAAAGCUCGUAGUUGAAUUUCGGAGUUUGUCGGUUGGUCGGGCUUCACUGUCCGCACUGACCUGAUGGAUUCCUACCUUCUGAAUAACCAGCAUGCUAUUAAGUUAGUGCGUUGGGGAGGCAGAGCUAUUACCUUGAAAAAAUUAGAGUGCUUAAAGCAGGCUUAUGCUUGAAUAGAUUAGCAUGGAAUAAUAAAAUAGGACGGCAUGGUUCUAUUUUGUUGGUUUCUAGGAUCACCGUAAUGAUUAAUAGGGAUAGUUGGGGGCAUUAGUAUUCAAUUGUCAGAGGUGAAAUUCUUGGAUUUAUUGAAGACUAACUUCUGCGAAAGCAUUUGCCAAGGAUGUUUUCAUUAAUCAAGAACGAAAGUUAGGGGAUCGAAGACGAUCAGAUACCGUCGUAGUCUUAACCAUAAACUAUGCCGACUAGGGAUCGGACGAUGUUAAUUUUUUAAUGACUCGUUCGGCGCCUUACGGGAAAC